rnacentral:rRNA from 1 species
CGGUUGAUCCUGGCGGAGGCCAUUGCUAUCGGAGUCCGAUUUAGCCAUGCUAGUUGCACGAGUUCAUACUCGUGGCGGAUAGCUCAGUAACACGUGGCCAAGCUACCCUAUGGAGAGGGAUAACCCCGGGAAACUGGGGCUAAUACCUCAUAACGCUCCCCCACUGGAAUGUGGGGAGCCGGAAAUGCUCCGGCGCCAUAGGAUGCGGCUGCGGUCGAUUAGGUAGACGGUGGGGUAACGGCCCACCGUGCCGAUAAUCGGUACGGGUCGUGAGAGCGAGUGCCCGGAGAUGGAUUCUGAGACAAGAAUCCAGGCCCUACGGGGCGCAGCAGGCGCGAAACCUUUACACUGCACGCAAGUGCGAUAAGGGGACUCCGAGUGUGUGGGCAUAGAGCCCACACUUUUGUGUACCGUAAGGUGGUACACGAAUAAGAGCUGGGCAAGACCGGUGCCAGCCGCCGCGGUAAUACCGGCAGCUCGAGUGAUGGCCGAUCUUAUUGGGCCUAAAGCGUCCGUAGCCGGCCGGGCAAGUCCGUUGGGAAAUCUGUUCGCUUAACGAACAGGCGUCCAGCGGAAACUGCUCGGCUUGGGACCGAAAGACCUGAGGGGUACGUCCGGGGUAGGAGUGAAAUCCUGUAAUCCUGGACGGACCGCCGAUGGCGAAAGCACCUCAGGAGGACGGAUCCGACGGUGAGGGACGAAAGCUAGGGUCUCGAACCGGAUUAGAUACCCGGGUAGUCCUAGCUGUAAACGAUGCCUGCUAGGUGUGGCACAGGCUACGAGCCUGUGCUGUGCCGUAGGGAAGCCGAGAAGCAGGCCGCCUGGGAAGUACGUCCGCAAGGAUGAAACUUAAAGGAAUUGGCGGGGGAGCACUACAACCGGAGGAGCCUGCGGUUUAAUUGGACUCAACGCCGGACAUCUCACCGGAACCGACAGCAGUAAUGACGAUCAGGUUGAUGACCUUAUUCGACGCUGCUGAGAGGAGGUGCAUGGCCGCCGUCAGCUCGUACCAUGAGGCGUCCUGUUAAGUCAGGCAACGAGCGAGACCCA